AGUGAACGCUGGCGGCAGGCCUAACACAUGCAAGUCGAACGGCAGCACGGCAGUAGCAAUACUGUGGGUGGCGAGUGGCGGACGGGUGAGGAAUACAUCGGGAUCUACCCUGUUGUGGGGGAUAACGUAGGGAAACUUACGCUAAUACCGCAUAAGAACUGAGGUUGAAAGCGGCGGACCGCAAGGCGUCGCGCGAUUGGAUGAACCGAUGUCCGAUUAGCUAGUUGGCGGGGUAAAGGCCCACCAAGGCGACGAUCGGUAGCUGGUCUGAGAGGACGACCAGCCACACUGGAACUGAGACACGGUCCAGACCCCUACGGGAGGCAGCAGUGGGGAAUAUUGGACAAUGGGCGCAAGCCUGAUCCAGCCAUGCCGCGUGGGUGAAGAAGGCCUUCGGUUGUAAGACCUUUGUCCGG
rnacentral:rRNA from 1 species